GAUGAACGCUAGCGGCAGGCUUAAUACAUGCAAGUCGUGGGGCAGCAGGAGUAGCAAUACUUGCUGGCGACCGGCAAACGGGUGCGGAACACGUACACAACCUUCCUUUAAGCGGGGGAUAGCCCAGAGAAAUUUGGAUUAAUACCCCAUAAUAUAUAAUGUAGGCAUCUACGAGAUAUUAAAGCUUCGGCAUUUAAAGAUGGGUGUGCGUCUGAUUAGAUAGUUGGUGAGGUAAUGGCUCACCAAGUCAACGAUCAGUAGCUGAUGUGAGAGCAUGAUCAGCCACACGGGCACUGAGACACGGGCCCGACUCCUACGGGAGGCAGCAGUAAGGAAUAUUGGUCAAUGGACGAAAGUCUGAACCAGCCAUGCCGCGUGAAGGAUUAAGGUCCUCUGGAUUGUAAACUUCUUUUAUAGGGGACGAAAAAAGGGCAUUCUUGCUCACUUGACGGUACUCUAUGAAUAAGCACCGGCUAACU
rnacentral:rRNA from 1 species